UAGUGCGUGGGUUAAAUAGCGGAUAUAUGGUGGUUCAAAUUGACAGGAAUAGAAUGAUUUGCGUUUGCCACAUGUAUACCCAUUCCCAAUCACCCAUGGCAUCUACAUGAUCCAUGUACAAUUGGAGUUUAUGAAGUGCAUUCUACUCUAAUGACCACUUCGCUUGCCAGUUUGCAUUUUCUGUAUUACCCAAAACCCACUCCUGUUUGACAAACCCUAUGUGAGCCUCCCAAUCUGUAGACACCGAAUAACCUCCUCAGACAGGAUGUACACAAGUGCCGCCAGAAAAUAGUUCAUAACAAGAAGGGAGCAUCCAUCAAAUAAGAACUGGAGUUUAGAUCACUGGCAUUAUUUCCUGCUUUGGUAUAAUAUUUGCCCAAGAAUUAGUAAAAAGUAGCUGUUCACGAUGAAUUAUUAGCUGCUAUACAGCUGGGCACUUUUACGGCGGAUGGAUAUGUACAGUAUUUCCCGUCGCACAGGCAGGCAGCUUUUAGUGUUGGAGAAGAAAGGCGCUGGCGAGAGAAGCUCCUGAGAUGAGGCAAACAUCAAUGCAGACCACACUGAACAUCGACAGCUGUGCACCUCCAAUAGAGAGGUGACAUACUCUGGUCGACAAAGCCAAUAUCUUUCAGACACGAAGUCAGCACAGCUUGAAACAUCUGAUCAUAAAAUGAGGUUUCCAAAACAAUAUUUAUCUACAAUGAAACGUUACCAUAUAUGGUGGCAUAUCAAAUCGUGACACAUCACUGAUGACAUCUAUGUUCAUUUUGGCUUGUGGCAGAACAUCCAACUUACUCAGGGGUUGUUAGUCAGGUCUAUUGUUACAGCUGUCCAGCCUCUUGGAAACCCAGACUUCGGGGACUGUGUCUCUGGCUCAGUGGGGGCUGGUUCAGCUUAGUUAGAUGGGUUUGAAUUACAGGGAACAGCAUACUAUUAAUGUUCAUUAAAAUAGCUCACCACGUGUAGUGAAAAAGGCCAUGGAGAUGAUCAACACAAAUUGUAACACACAGGCCUUGCAGCACAUUUGUGUUGUUAUACAUACCUUAAAAUUUCUCACUGCGAUGAGUAUGACAUUCGGCAAGUCAUCGGUCUUGUCAAACACUAGGGGUUUGUCUUCAACUUCAAAUUUCAAAUGAAAGAAAAGAAAUUACUACUUUAUUGAAACAACUACAUGCGGAGGUAUUGACACCGUACUGAACCAUAGUACUUGAAUCAGCUUAUGAACUUCAAGAAUGUCCACUUUUAUGACUGGCAUUCCCUAUUACAUAUCUAUGUUAUGACAUAAAUAGCUAAUGUAUUCACUACUUACUUUCCUGUGGGAUUUUAUUCAAUUACACGAGUAAUAUAAA